AUUGAACGCUGGCGGCAUGCCUUACACAUGCAAGUCGAACGGUAACAGGUCUUCGGAUGCUGACGAGUGGCGAACGGGUGAGUAAUACAUCGGAACGUGCCUAGUAGUGGGGGAUAACUACUCGAAAGAGUGGCUAAUACCGCAUGAGAUCUACGGAUGAAAGCAGGGGAUCGCAAGACCUUGUGCUACUAGAGCGGCCGAUGGCAGAUUAGGUAGUUGGUGGGAUAAAAGCUUACCAAGCCGACGAUCUGUAGCUGGUGUGAGAGGACGAUCAGCCACGCUGGGACUGAGACACGGGCCAGACUCCUACGGGAGGCAGCAGUGGGGAAUUUUGGACAAUGGGCGCAAGCCUGAUCCAGCAAUGCCGCGUGCAGGAUGAAGGCCUUCGGGUUGUAAACUGCUUUUGUACGGAACGAAAAGCCCUGGGUUAAUACCCUGGGGUCAUGACGGUACCGUAAGAAUAAGCACCGGCUAACUACGUGCCAGCCGCCGCGGUAACAC
rnacentral:rRNA from 1 species